AGUGAACGCUGGCGGUAGGCCUAACACAUGCAAGUCGAACGGCAGCACAGUAAGCUCUUUCUCUUACGGUUGGCGAGUUGCGGACGUUUGAGUAAUACAUCGGAAUCUACUUUUUCUUGGGUGUUAACGUAGGGUAACUUACCCUAAUACCUCAUACUACCUACGGUUGAAUUCAUUUGAUCUUCUGUCCUUUCGCGUUUCUAUGAGCCGAUGUCGGAUUAGCUAGUUGGCGGGGUAAAGGCCCACCAAGGCGACGAUCCGUAGCUGGUCUGAGAGGAUGAGCAGACAAACUGGAAGUGAGAAACGGUCCAGACAACUACGGGAGGAAGCAGAGGGGAAUAUUGGACAAAGGGCGCAAGCCUGAUCAAGCAAUACCGCGUGGGUGAAGAAGGAGUUCGGGUUGUAAAGACCUUUUGUUGGGAAAGAAAAGAAGCAGGUUAAUACCCCGAUGUUAUGACGGUACCAAAAGAAUAAGCACCGGCUAACUUCGUG
rnacentral:rRNA from 1 species